AUGCGAUAAGUAAUGUGAAUUGCAGAAUUCCGUGAAUCAUCGAAUCUUUGAACGCAUAUUGCGCCCUCUGGUAUUCCGGGGGGCAUGCCUGUUCGAGCGUCAUUGCAUCCCUCAAGCGCGGCUUGGGCGUUGGGCCACCGUCCCCCCCGCGGACGGGCCUGAAAGACAGUGGCGGUUCCGCGAUCCGGUACCCGAGCGUAUGGGGCUUUGUCACACGCUCCGGGGGCCCGGCCGGCGCUGGCCGAUCUUUUGAUUUUUUCCAGGUUGACCUCGGAUCAGGUAGGGAUACCCGCUGAACUUAA
rnacentral:misc_RNA from 1 species